rnacentral:lncRNA from 1 species
AUGGUGUCAAUUGGUGGAUCAUAUCUAAAUGGACGGUCUUCACAAGCAAAAUGUCGGUGGCUGACCGACAAGUAUAACAUAGAAUUUUAUAUCUAAUUUUUGAAAUAAAAAGAUGGUCUAAUUAUCUGUUUGCCUUUGUCAGCACAAAUGGAUCUCAUAAACUGCAAGUGUGAUUCGACGACAUAAAACAUAUAUAAUUGGAGUGGAUCCUAUCCUUGUA